AACCGACCAAGUUUACUACAGGAGAAAUGGGUUCAGGCGGAAAAACGUCUUUUAGUAUCGAAAACGCUGCGGAAAUUCAUCAAAUAUUGGCGCGAAGAUAAUCAGACGUCAGGACCCUAAAAACAAGAAUGUACUGCCGCAACUGCAAGGGCUUUUCACGAGUACAAGGUUUGGAGGUUACAGCUGGCCUUUAACAGUAACCGUAGAUCUACUGUGUUCUUUCGUUUUAUAUCUAUAACAAAUUGGGAAAGCUGCAUAAGGGUGCUCAAUAAUUCGACGUAAACAUCGUUUCAACAAACAAAACAAUAUAUGCUGUUAUUUAUUUUAUCGCGUGCGUCUUCUAUACGAAUGUUUAUCCCAGUUGAGCCCUGAUGUUUUAGUGAAUCGAUAUUUACGAAGGUUCUUGGACUCUUCUUAGAUAUAUACUUAUAUAUAUAUAUAUAUAUAUAUAUCCUUGAAUAUAUAAGAUAUAUCCUUGA